AUGCCGGAUGCUCCGACUCCUCGCAUGGGGUGUCGGGAAAGAUUUCAUCGGUAUGGGAUGGGGUCGCGUCCUAUCAGGUAGUCGGCGGGGUAACGGCCCACCGAGCCUACGACGGGUAGCCGGCCUGAGAGGGCGACCGGCCACAUUGGGACUGAGAUACGGCCCAGACUCCUACGGGAGGCAGCAGUGGGGAAUAUUGCACAAUGGGCGCAAGCCUGAUGCAGCGACGCCGCGUGCGGGAUGACGGCCUUCGGGUUGUAAACCGCUUUUGAUCGGGAGCAAGCCUUCGGGUGAGUGUACCUUUCGAAUAAGCACCGGCUAACUACGUGCCAGCAGCCGCGGUAAUACGUAGGGUGCAAGCGUUAUCCGGAAUUAUUGGGCGUAAAGGGCUCGUAGGCGGUUCGUCGCGUCCGGUGUGAAAGUCCAUCGCUUAACGGUGGAUCUGCGCCGGGUACGGGCGGGCUGGAGUGCGGUAGGGGAGACUGGAAUUCCCGGUGUAACGGUGGAAUGUGUAGAUAUCGGGAA
rnacentral:rRNA from 1 species